UAUAAGCAAUUAUACAGCGAAACUGCGAAUGGCUCAUUAUAUAAGUUAUCGUUUAUUUGAUAGUACCUUACUACUUGGAUAACCGUGGUAAUUCUAGAGCUAAUACAUGCUAAAAAUCCCGACUUCGGAAGGGAUGUAUUUAUUAGAUUAAAAACCAAUGCCCUCUGGGCUCCUUGGUGAUUCAUAAUAACUUUUCGAAUCGCACGGCCUUGCGCCGGCGAUGGUUCAUUCAAAUUUCUUCCCUAUCAACUUUCGAUGUUUGGGUCUUGGCCAAACAUGGUCGCAACGGGUAACGGAGGGUUAGGGCUCGACCCCGGAGAAGGAGCCUGAGAAACGGCUACUACAUCCAAGGAAGGCAGCAGGCGCGCAAAUUACCCAAUCCCGAUUCGGGGAGGUAGUGACAAUAAAUACUGAUACAGGGCUCUUUUGGGUCUUGUAAUUGGAAUGAGUACAAUUUAAAUCUCUUAACGAGGAACAAUUGGAGGGCAAGUCUGGUGCCAGCAGCCGCGGUAAUUCCAGCUCCAAUAGCGUAUAUUAAAGUUGUUGUGGUUAAAAAGCUCGUAGUUGAACCUUGGGCCUGGCUGGCCGGUCCGCCUCACCGCGUGCACUGGUCCGGCCGGGCCUUUCCCUCUGUGGAACCCCAUGCUCUUCACUGAGUGUGGCGGUGAAACAGGACUUUUACUUUGAAAAAAUUAGAGUGCUCCAGGCAGGCCUAUGCUCGAAUACAUUAGCAUGGAAUAAUAAAAUAGGACGCGUGGUUCUAUUUUGUUGGUUUCUAGGACCGCCGUAAUGAUUAAUAGGGACAGUCGGGGGCAUCAGUAUUCAAUUGUCAGAGGUGAAAUUCUUGGAUUUAUUGAAGACUAACUACUGCGAAAGCAUUUGCCAAGGAUGUUUUCAUUAAUCAGGAACGAAAGUUAGGGGAUCGAAGACGAUCAGAUACCGUCGUAGUCUUAACCAUAAACUAUGCCGACUAGGGAUCGGACGAUGUUAUUUUUUGACGCGUUCGGCACCUUACGAGAAAUCAAAGUGCUUGGGCUCCAGGGGGAGUAUGGUCGCAAGGCUGAAACUUAAAGAAAUUGACGGAAGGGCACCACCAGGGGUAAACCGCUUCGCGCAGCCGCAGUAGCUCUGCCCCAGAAAGCAGCCCGAAAGGGUCAGUGGUGUUCCUGCCAGCGCUCCGGCGCGGCGAACUAAUUGCUAGUCUCCUCUGGAGGCGACACCCUCAAAUUGCGGGAAAAUCCUAAAGCCAGUGUCACCAAGCCGGCGCCGAAAGGGCGUCGGUGGCCGGGGUAGCGACCUAGGGUACGGUAAAAGCACACUGGAUAAUGCAAUGGACGAUCCGCAGCCAAGCCUCGUCGCCGCAGGGCACGGGGAAGGUUCAGAGACUACAUGGGGGUGGGUAGUGCACUGUCUGGGGGCUCCGGCCCCCGAGCGCCCGCUCACAACACUGCUUAAGAUAUAGUCCGGCCGUGCUGGAAACAGCACGGGCUGGCAACCCCAGAAACGGGAGCCUGCGGCUUAAUUUGACUCAACACGGGGAAACUCACCAGGUCCAGACACAAUGAGGAUUGACAGAUUGAGAGCUCUUUCUUGAUUUUGUGGGUGGUGGUGCAUGGCCGUUCUUAGUUGGUGGAGUGAUUUGUCUGCUUAAUUGCGAUAACGAACGAGACCUUAACCUGCUAAAUAGCCUGUAUUGCUUUGGCAGUACGCUGGCUUCUUAGAGGGACUAUCGGCUCAAGCCGAUGGAAGUUUGAGGCAAUAACAGGUCUGUGAUGCCCUUAGAUGUUCUGGGCCGCACGCGCGCUACACUGACGGAGCCAGCGAGUACUUCCUUGGUCGAAAGGCUCGGGUAAUCUUGUUAAACUCCGUCGUGCUGGGGAUAGAGCAUUGCAAUUAUUGCUCUUCAACGAGGAAUCCCUAGUAAGCGCAAGUCAUCAGCUUGCGUUGAUUACGUCCCUGCCCUUUGUACACACCGCCCGUCGCUACUACCGAUCGAAUGGCUCAGUGAGGCGUCCGGACUGGCCCAGGGAGGUGGGCAACUACCCCCCCGGGCCGGGAAGCUCUCCAAACUCGGUCAUUUAGAGGAAGUAAAAGUCGUAACAAGGUCUCCGUUGGUGAACCAGCGGAGGGAUCAUUA
rnacentral:rRNA from 1 species